rnacentral:rRNA from 1 species
CGUAGGGGGCGAGCGUUGUCCGAAGUUACUGGGCGUAAAGCGCGCGUAGGCGGUCAUUUAAGUUCGGGGUGAAAGGUUCAGCGCUCAACGCGAACAGUGCCUUGAAUACUGGGUGACUUGAGUUCGGGAGAGGGCAGUGGAAUUCCUGGUGUAGCGGUGAAAUGCGUAGAUAUCAGGAGGAACACCGAUGGCGAAGGCAGCUGCCUGGCCUAGAACGUGACGCUGAGGUGCGAAAGCGUGGGGAGCGAACAGGAUUAGAUACCCUGGUAGUCCACGCCGUAAACGAUGAGUGCUAGGUGUUCGGGGUAUCGACCCCCCGGGUGCCGCCGCUAACGCAGUAAGCACUCCGCCUGGGGAGUACGGCCGCAAGGUUG